rnacentral:rRNA from 1 species
UAGGAACGGAAACCCUUACCCUUACAAGGGUAGGGGAAAUAACUCGCAAGAAAUGCGAGCUAAUACCGCAUGUGGUUGCGGAGUGGCAUCACUUUGCACCUAAAGAUUUAUCGCUUGGAGACGGCCUCGCGGCCUAUUAGCUAGUUGGUGGGGUAACGGCCUACCAAGGCGAUGAUGGGUAGCUGGUCUGAGAGGACGAUCAGCCACACUGGGACUGAGACACGGCCCAG